AUCCUGUUGUGGAUAUGGGUUUGACCAUGGAUGGAAUGGGAACCAGAUUUUUAUACAGAUGAGUUAUAUGCUUGUGAUGAUGUAUUGAUAUAUAUUGUCCAGGUUCAUAAUGUGACAGGUUAUGUGAUUGCUGCUCUGACAGGUAGUGUUGUUGUAUGUAAUGAGAUAAUCCUGACAGGUCACCAUAGGAAAGGUGAUCAUUUUGUGCAUGCAUCAUGCCAAAAUUUUUCAGAAUUUAUUGAUGAUUGAUAGGUAGUAGGGUUCUACGUGGUGGCUGGUGGCCUUAUGCCUACCCGCACCCUAGGACCGUCGCG
rnacentral:lncRNA from 1 species